rnacentral:rRNA from 1 species
UACGGAGGGUCCAAGCGUUAUCCGGAAUCAUUGGGUUUAAAGGGUGCGUAGGCGGUUUUGUAAGUCAGUGGUGAAAGCCCAUCGCUCAACGGUGGAACGGCCAUUGAUACUGCAAGACUUGAAUUAUUAGGAAGUAACUAGAAUAUGUAGUGUAGCGGUGAAAUGCUUAGAUAUUACAUGGAAUACCAAUUGCGAAGGCAGGUUACUACUAAUAUAUUGACGCUGAUGGACGAAAGCGUGGGGAGCGAACAGG